rnacentral:rRNA from 1 species
AUUGAACGCUGGCGGCAGGCUUAACACAUGCAAGUCGAACGAGUGGCGGACGGGUGAGUAAUGCUUGGGAAUCUAGCUUAUGGAGGGGGAUAACUACUGGAAAAGGUAGCUAAUACCGCAUACCAUCAGAUGAACCCAUAUGGGAUUAGCUUGUAGGUGAGGUAACGGCUCACCUAGGCGACGGUCCCUAGCUGGUCUGAGAGGAUGAUCAGCCACAAUGGGACUGAGACACGGCCCAGACUCCUACGGGAGGCAGCAGUGGGGAAUAUUGGAAAAUGGGCGCAAGCCUGAUGCAGCCAUGCCGCGUGUAUGAAGAAGGCCUUAGGGUUGUAAAGUACUUUCAGCGGGGAGGCGUUACCCGCAGAAGAAGCACCGGCUAACUCCGUGCCAGCAGCCGCGGUAAUUC